AGUGAACGCUGGCGGUAGGCCUAACACAUGCAAGUCGAACGGCAGCACAGUAAGAGCUUGCUCUUACGGGUGGCGAGUGGCGGACGGGUGAGGAAUACAUCGGAAUCUAUUUUUUCGUGGGGGAUAACGUAGGGAAACUUACGCUAAUACCGCAUACGACCUACGGGUGAAAGCAGGGGAUCUUCGGACCUUGCGCGAUUGAAUGGGCCGAUGUCGGAUUAGCUAGUUGGCGGGGUAAAGGCCCACCAAGGCGACGAUCCGUAGCUGGUCUGAGAGGAUGAUCAGCCACACUGGAACUGAGACACGGUCCAGACUCCUACGGGAGGCAGCAGUGGGGAAUAUUGGACAAUGGGCGCAAGCCUGAUCCAGCCAUACCGCGUGGGUGAAGAAGGCCUUCGGGUUGUAAAGCCCUUUUGUUGGGAAAGAAAAGCAGCAGGUUAAUACCCCGCUGUUCUGACGGUACCCAAAGAAUAAGCACCGGCUAACUUCGUG
rnacentral:rRNA from 1 species